GGCGCAGUAGCUCAGUGGCUAGAGCACUUGAUUGCAAAUCAAGGGGUCCCGUGUUCGAACCACGGUUGCACCU